rnacentral:rRNA from 1 species
GAUUUGCUAAAAGUUGAGUAGAACGCACCUGAUCUCAUCUGAUCUCAGAAGCUAAGCAGGAUCAGGCCUGAUUAGUACUUGCAUAGGAGAGUUGUAAGAUUUUCAAUCU